AUUGAACGCUGGCGGCAGGCCUAACACAUGCAAGUCGAGCGGAUGAAGGGAGCUUGCUCCUGGAUUCAGCGGCGGACGGGUGAGUAAUGCCUAUGAAUCUGCCUGGUAGCGGGGGAUAACGUCCGGAAACGGGCGCUAAUACCGCAUACGUCCUUAGGUCGAAAGUGGGGGAUCUUCGGACCUCAUGCUAUCAGAUUAGCCUAGGUCGCAUGAGCUAGUGGGUGGGGUAGAGGCCUAGCAAGGCGACGAUCCGUAACUGGUCUGAGUGGAAGAUCAGUCACACUGGAACAGAGACAGGGUCCAGACUCCUGCGGGAGGAAGCAGUGGGGAAUAUUAGACAAUGGGGGAAAGGCUGAUACUGCCAUACGGCGUGAGGGAUGAAGGUGUUCGGAUGGGAAAGCGCUGAAGGUUGUAAGGAAGGGCAGUACGUUAAUACGUUGCGAUAUUGACGGUACCGAGAGAAUAAGCACCGGCUAACUUCGUG
rnacentral:rRNA from 1 species